GUCGAACGCAUCCCGCUGAAUUGAAGUGCUUGCACUGAUUUUCAGCAUUGCAUGAGUGGCGAACUGGUGAGUAACACGUGGGUAACCUGCCCGGAAGCAGGGGAUAACACUUGGAAACAGGUGCUAAUACCGUAUAACAACUGAAACCGCAUGGUUUCAGUUUGAAAGAUGGUUUCGGCUAUCACUUCUGGAUGGACCCGCGGCGUAUUAGCUAGUUGGUGGAAUAAUGGUUCACCAAGGCAAUGAUACGUAGCCGACCUGAGAGGGUAAUCGGCCACAUUGGGACUGAGACACGGCCCAAACUCCUACGGGAGGCAGCAGUAGGGAAUCUUCCACAAUGGACGAAAGUCUGAUGGAGCACCGCCGCGUGAGUGAAGAAGGGUUUCGGCUCGUAAAACUCUGUUGUUGAAGAAGAACACAUCUGAGAGUAACUGUUCAGGUGUUGACGGUAUUUAACCAGAAAGCCACGGCUAACUACGUGCCAGCAGCCGCGGUAAUACGUAGGUGGCAAGCGUUGUCCGGAUUUAUUGGGCGUAAAGCGAGCGCAGGCGGUUUCUUAAGUCUGAUGUGAAAGCCUUCGGCUUAACCGGAGAAGUGCAUCGGAAACUGGGAGACUUGAGUGCAGAAGAGGACAGUGGAACUCCAUGUGUAGCGGUGAAAUGCGUAGAUAUAUGGAAGAACACCAGUGGCGAAGGCGGCUGUCUGGUCUGUAACUGACGCUGAGGCUCGAAAGCAUGGGUAGCGAACAGGAUUAGAUACCCUGGUAGUCCAUGCCGUAAACGAUGAAUACUAG
rnacentral:rRNA from 1 species